rnacentral:rRNA from 1 species
AUGCACGCUGGCGGCGUGCCUAAUCCCUGCAAGUCGAGCGAACAGACGAGGAGCUUGCUCCUCUGACGUUAGCGGCGGACGGGUGAGUAACACGUGGAUAACCUACCUAUAAGACUGGGAUAACUUCGGGAAACCGGAGCUAAUACCGGAUAAUAUAUUGAACCGCAUGGUUCAAUAGUGAAAGACGGUUUUGCUGUCACUUAUAGAUGGAUCCGCGCCGCAUUAGCUAGUUGGUAAGGUAACGGCUUACCAAGGCAACGAUGCGUAGCCGACCUGAGAGGGUGAUCGGCCACACUGGAACUGAGACACGGUCCAGACUCCUACGGGAGGCAGCAGUAGGGAAUCUUCCGCAAUGGGCGAAAGCCUGACGGAGCAACGCCGCGUGAGUGAUGAAGGUCUUCGGAUCGUAAAACUCUGUUAUUAGGGAAGAACAAAUGUGUAAGUAACUAUGCACGUCUUGACGGUACCUAAUCAGAAAGCCACGGCUAACUACGUG